AUGCUGCAGGAUUGGAAAAGCCCCUUCCAAUCCCUGCCCCCCCCCCAAAGCCAGACAGGCGCCAGGGCAGCAAAAGCCCUGCAGGGUCUCAGACCAGUUGAUAGGGAAGGGAUGCGGUGGGAACGACACCAACUGUUGGAUGACAAAUUCCAUUCUGGAAGCCGCCAAGCUGCGAGGCAAGAGGCCCACCUGCAGAGCUGCUCCUCGGCCUUGAGCUGCAGGAUCCAGCACGGCUUUCCCACCUGUGUUGGCCUCUCCUGCAGCCUUUGGGGGGGAGGUUUUUCUAGUUGGCUUCAGCCCCCAGCAAGGAGAGCACCAGAGGUUCCCCGUAUGAUGCAGAGGAAAGCCAAAACCACAGGCAGAAGGCAACAGCGCCCACUCACCUCCACGCCGAUGCCAGGGCCAACAUCUGGAUACAGAUGUGAGCGCUGCCUCCUGGGUAGGAAAGCCACCCUGCCCUGGGAAAGCUGCCUCCCCCCUUGGCCACGGCUGGGACAGUUCUUGGCUCUGGCCCAAAUCUGGCUCGUCCAGCAUUAUCUAAGCCGAAAUGCCAUCCAAGACUCUCGCCUUCUUUCUCCCCACAGCUAUCUAUUGCCGUGCAAAACAGACUGGAGCCAGGAACUUUCCAGCAUCCUUUGGCUGGGGGCGUUGUUGUUCCAGGACACUGGAAGAAAAAGAGGAUGGGGUCUGCAGGACAGGACAGGAGGGGCUGAAGUGGUUGCUGAACCAGCUGUGGCAUUUCACGCUGGCCCUGGCCAGGAACACGACCUCUCGGGCCUCAAAGGAAAAUGCCUGCGGGAAGCAGCAUCGUGCGCCGGGUCACAGGCGGCUCCAGCGGGCAAGCACUGCCCAAGGUCACGGGAACGGACCGAUCCAUUCAGGGCCUGUGAGCGCCGGCGCCAAGCUGAGGUCCUUCCCAGGCUCACCCGCUGGCCCCUGCCAUGGGCGAGUCGCCGGACGGGGCACCCUGCUUUGAAAAGUCUGCAUCCGGAUAAGCUCCUGCGACCGCGAAGAGGACGUGGAACCAAGGAGCCGGUACACCUGGGCGCUGAAUGUCUUAAGGCAACAAGCAGCGCGCACGCAAGUGCAACCGCAGGUGCGAGCACAAGUGCACCAGCCCGUUCCCUCUUCCUUUCUUCGGAGACGUCAGUGUUUUAA
rnacentral:lncRNA from 1 species